GACGAACGCUGGCGGCGUGCCUAAUACAUGCAAGUCGAACGCUUCUUUCCUCCCGAGUGCCUGCACUCAAUUGGAAAGAGGAGUGGCGGACGGGUGAGUAACACGUGGGUAACCUACCCAUCAGAGGGGGAUAACACUUGGAAACAGGUGCUAAUACCGCAUAACAGUUUAUGCCGCAUGGCAUAAGAGUGAAAGGCGCUUUCGGGUGUCGCUGAUGGAUGGACCCGCGGUGCAUUAGCUAGUUGGUGAGGUAACGGCUCACCAAGGCCACGAUGCAUAGCCGACCUGAGAGGGUGAUCGGCCACACUGGGACUGAGACACGGCCCAGACUCCUACGGCAGGCAGCAGUAGGGAAUCUUCGGCAAUGGACGAAAGUCUGACCGAGCAACGCCGCGUGAGUGAAGAAGGUUUUCGGAUCGUAAAACUCUGUUGUUAGAGAAGAACAAGGACGUUAGUAACUGAACGUCCCCUGACGGUAUCUAACCAGAAAGCCACGGCUAACUACGUG
rnacentral:rRNA from 1 species